UACGUAUGGUGCAAGCGUUAUCCGGAUUUACUGGGUGUAAAGGGAGCGCAGGCGGCACGGCAAGCCUGAUGUGAAAGCCCGCGGCCCAACCGCGGGACUGCAUUGGGAACUACCGGGCUGGAGUGCCGGAGAGGUAGGCGGAAUUCCUAGUGUAGCGGUGAAAUGCGUAGAUAUUAGGAGGAACACCAGUGGCGAAGGCGGCCUACUGGACGGUGACUGACGCUGAGGCUCGAAAGCGUGGGGAGCAAACGGG
rnacentral:rRNA from 1 species